UCUAUAUGGCCGGAACAUCAUAGCAUAUCGUUCGACUUCAAACAUCUUAAAUUCUUUGAAAUGGAAAUUGCUUUUGGAUCGAAAUGGGAAAUGAAAAUCAUUGGAUUUGUUCUUGGGAAUACAUCUUUGCUUGAGGUUUCUAAUUUUAAAUGGGCUUCUCGUUCUACACUGAGUAUUGAAGAGAAGACAGAUAUUAUGAACAAGUUGAUGUCAGUAAAAAAAGCUUCCACAUCUGUGGAAGUAAAGUUUGCAGAGAUCAUUCUGAAAUGAAGUGUCUACCUGUUAAUGAAUUUUUUCCUGUAGUUUGAAGCCAUUCCUUAUGAAUCAUCUUUAAAAGAGAUCAAAUUCAACUCUUUGAAAAAAACUUGAACUUUAUGUGAAAAUCUGGGUUGUUCUCAAGAAUGUGCGAUACUUUGCUGCAUCUUAAAAAACUCUUCAUCAUUGCUACAUCUUAGUAUAAUAACAAUCGUUGUAAGUUCUUGAUGUGAAUCUGGAUUGUUCUCAAGAAUGUGUGAAACUUUGAUGCAUCCUAAAAAACUCUAUCAAUGCUACAUCUUAGUAUAAUAACAAUCUUUGAAAGUUUUAAUGUUUAUUUUUCAUUCGUUUGGGUCGGGUAUUGGCCUUAGUCGGAGAUCCUAUCCAUGGUCGGCCUUAGUCGGAGAUUUUAUCAUGAUAUAAAAGAUUGUGUUUAUAACUUCUUCUAAUGUUAAUUGCCUAUGAAUCUUAUCAAUGAUAUCAUCAGGUAACUUACUAAGUCUGUCUGGGGUGAAAAACCUGUUGUAUUUUAACAUCUUUUUUAUUUUUUAAGGAAAACUUUGCCAUCUUUUUUUGUUCCACUUGUAAAUGAUUUGUCUUGGUUUCUAAUUGCAUAAGGAAUUCAAUGAGAUUGAACUUCUAUGGUGGUG
rnacentral:lncRNA from 1 species